rnacentral:rRNA from 1 species
GAUGAACGCUGGCGGCGUGCUUAACACAUGCAAGUCGAACGGAGCAAAUUUAUUAGACUUCUUCGGAAUGAAGAUUUAUAAGCUUAGUGGCGGACGGGUGAGUAACGCGUGGGUAACCUACCUUAUACUGGGGGAUAACAGUUAGAAAUGACUGCUAAUACCGCAUAAGCGCACGGCAUCACAUGAUGCAGUGUGAAAAACUCCGGUGGUAUAAGAUGGACCCGCGUCUGAUUAGCUAGUUGGUAAGGUAAUGGCUUACCAAGGCGACGAUCAGUAGCCGGCUUGAGAGAGUGAACGGCCACAUUGGGACUGAGACACGGCCCAAACUCCUACGGGAGGCAG